rnacentral:piRNA from 1 species
UAAAAUCCUGCUGUUACUAAGAUGGUUCUU